UUGUGUGUGUGUGUGUGUGUGUGUGUGUGUGUGUGUGUGUGUGUGUGUGUGUGUGUGUGUGUGUGUGUGUGUGUGUGUGUGUGUGUGUGUGUGUGUGCGCUUGUCCAUGUGAUUUCCCAGGUGUUUCAAGUUAAAUAAAGUCUCCGGUAAAUCUGGGGAAACUGUACAUUUACCGGCUGAUGUUGACGUUCCCCACUUGGGGCCGUUUGUGAACCGCAAUUCUCCGUCAGCCGUACGGGUAGCCGUCAUCAGUGAUUCUUAUAUAAAUAAGGAGGGCAAGGAGAAAGUUUUUCCUGCAAAUCUUGGUGGAUGUGUCCGCCUCCGUCACAUCACAGUGACCAAAUUGUAGAUUUUCAUCCAAACGGAGUGAAAGAAACCCACCCAUCACAGCUGUGGUCUCAUCCGUAACCUUAAAAGGCCUGACUCCUCCGGCCACGGACUCUGUGCCUUUUAACCUUCUUCGUGAUCCUGUUUCGCAGUAAUCAGGUAAAAGCUAAAUCUUCAUGAAGGGUAUUCUAAUAUAGGGGCAGAGAUGUGACCUGAGAUGUCUCGUCUUGACUCUGUAUUUACUAAAGCAAUGGAUGUGAAGUGAGUCCCGUUAAAAAGCACUCUUGCUUUCCCCUAAUGUACCAGCGUGACGAAUCAAAUGUAAACACGCCUGCUCAUAUAUUCUGCAUUAGUUGGUGUGUAUGUGUGUGCGUGCA